CAGCAGCCGCGGUAAUACGAAGGGUGCAAGCGUUACUCGGAAUUACUGGGCGUAAAGCGUGCGUAGGCGGCUUCUUAAGUCGGAUGUGAAAUCCUUGAGCUUAACUUAGGAAUUGCAUUCGAUACUGGGAAGCUAGAGUAUGGGAGAGGAUGGUAGAAUUCCAGGUGUAGCGGUGAAAUGCGUAGAGAUCUGGAGGAAUACCGAUGGCGAAGGCAGCCAUCUGGCCUAAUACUGACGCUGAGGUACGAAAGCAUGGGGAGCAAACAGGAUUAGAUACCCCGGUAGUCCCUGUCUCUUAUAC
rnacentral:rRNA from 1 species